rnacentral:rRNA from 1 species
GACGAACGCUGGCGGCGUGCUUAACACAUGCAAGUCGAACGGAAAGGCCCGGCGCUUGUGGGGUGCUCGAGUGGCGAACGGGUGAGUAACACGCGAGGAACCUGCCCCUGAAUGUGUGAGAACAUCAGGAAAAUGGGGCGAAUACCGGAGAUGAGCUCCUGCUGCAUGGUGGGGGUUGGAGAGAGACGGCGGUUGGGGAUGGAUUCGCGGCUUAUCAGCUGGUUGGGGGGGUAGGUGCGUACCAAGCCUUUGACGGGUAGCCCGCAUGAGAGGGUGACCGGGCACAUUGGGACUGCGAUACGGACCAGUCUCCUACCGGCGGCAGCAGGGGGGAAUAUUGCACAACGGGCGGAAGUCUGUUGCAGCAACCCCGCGUGCGGGAUGAUGGCCUUCGGGUUGUAAACCGCUUUCGACUGUGCCGAAGAGUGCGUGACGGUAACGGGUAAAGAAGCACCGGCUAACUACGUG